rnacentral:tRNA from 1 species
GAGGGUAUAGCUCAAGGGGUAGAGCAUAUGCUUAGUAUGCAUAAGGUCCUGGGUUCAAUCCCCAGUGCCUUCU